rnacentral:rRNA from 1 species
UACGUAGGGGGCAAGCGUUGUCCGGAAUCAUUGGGCGUAAAGAGCUCGUAGGCGGCUUGUCGCGUCGUCCGUGAAAACCCACAGCUCAACUGUGGGCUUGCGGUCGAUACGGGCAGGCUCGAGUUCGGUAGGGGAGACUGGAAUUCCUGGUGUAGCGGUGAAAUGCGCAGAUAUCAGGAGGAACACCGGUGGCGAAGGCGGGUCUCUGGGCCGAUACUGACGCUGAGGAGCGAAAGCGUGGGGAGCGAACAGG